rnacentral:lncRNA from 13 species
AUGAAGGAUACACACACCCUGCUCAAUCUGCUUCUGCUGCUAGUGUACCUAGCAGGAUCAGCUUUGACCACAGAUGGAGGGAGUGGCAGUACCAAUGGUCCCUUGGAACUAACCAUAGUGGGACCUGACUUUGUUAAAGUGGGCGUGCCACGCAGCUUUGACUGUGCCGCCCAGUGCUCUCCCUCCUGCAGCUACAGAAUGAGUAUCUACGGGCAGAUUUGGCAGGGCAACAAGCUGUUGUUCACAGCUCGCCAAUGGGAGGAGUCCCUAAACCUUACAUGCACUGCAAGGAAUGAUGACUCUGGGAGGUCCUCUACAGUAUCAAAGACACUCCAGGUUUUAGCUGGACCAACCAACGUAUCGAUCACAGGCCCUGCCCUGAUGACCCCAGGGGCCCCUCAAAGCUUCCAGUGUAACGCCGACUGCAGUCCCUCCUGCAAGUACACCUGGAAGAUAAAGGGCCGAUGGCUCGGGGGACAGGGGAGCGAGAUUACCGUAACUCCCGAAGAGUUGGCCACCUCUGUUACCCUGAACUGCAAGGCCAUCAACAGUGUGUCUGGGCUCUAUGCCAUGGCAACCAGGAAAAUACCUGUGACAUCUGGUCCAUCAGAGGUCCACAUCAUAGGCCCAGAAUCUGUUGCAGUCGGCUUCAAGUCCAUGUUUCAGUGCAUUGCCAAAUGCUCUCCCGCUUGUGACUACCACUGGACCAUUGAUGGUCACACUGUCCAUGGCAGUGAGAUGGAGAUGACGGUCGAGCAACAUGUGAAGCCAGAGAAGAUUAUGUGCCACGCUCAGAAUACGUUCUCAACUAAUUUUGAGGUGGUCACCAAGACCGUACGAGUGGAAGACACUGAUGCAGCAACCCAGGAUGAAUACCCCUGA